rnacentral:tRNA from 1 species
GGCCCGUUCGUCUAGGGUUAGGACAGGAGAUUUUCAUUCUUCAAACAGGGGUUCGAUUCCCUACGGGCUA